rnacentral:rRNA from 1 species
UAGGGAAUCUUCGGCAAUGGACGGAAGUCUGACCGAGCAACGCCGCGUGAGUGAAGAAGGUUCUCGGAUCGUAAAGCUCUGUUGUUCGUGAAGAACGUUGGCAGGAGCGGAAAAUCUACCACGUGACGGUAACUAACCAGAAAGGGCCGGCUAACUACGUGCCAGCAGCCGCGGUAAUAUGUAGGUCCCGAGCGUUUUCCUGAUUUAUUGGGCGUAAAGCGGGCGCAGGCGGUUCUUUAAGUCUGAAGUUAAAGGCAGUGGCUGAGACAUUGUACGCUUUGGAAACUGGAGGACUUGGGUGCAGAAGGGGAGAGUGGAAUUCCAGGUGUGGCGGUGAAAUGCGUAGAAAUAUGGGGGAACGCCGGUGGCAAAAGCGGCUCGCUGGUAUGUAACGGCCGCUGAGGCUCGAAAGCGUGGGGAGCAAACAGG